UUUCCGUAGGGUAAGCUUAGUCCCAAUUUGUAUGCGACGAGUGCUAACGAAUGCAGUGAACCUGCGGAAGGAUCAUUACCGAGUUCUGGCUGUAAAGGCCGACUCCCACCCCAUGUCAACUACCUGUUGCUUCGGCGAGCCGACAGCUUUGCUGCCGUCGGUUUCCACGGGCGAGAGCUCGCCGAAGUUUUUACACGCUUCUUUGCAGUCUGAUUCAAAUGAGAAUUUUUAA
rnacentral:misc_RNA from 1 species